GUCUCCGUAGGUGACCCUGCGGAGGGAUCAUUACAGAGUUCGUGCCCUCACGGGUUGAUCUCCCACCCUGUGUUCUUAUACCUUUGUUUCUUUGGCGGGCCGCCCUCGGCUACCGGCCCCGGCUCGUACGCGCCCGCCAGUGGACCCCAAACUCUGAAUGUUAGUGUCGUCUGAGUACUAUACAAUAGUUAAAACUUUCAACAACGGAUCUCUUGGUUCUG
rnacentral:misc_RNA from 1 species